CUCCGGAUAGUUUGCCAACUCAGAUCACCCAGACGAAAGUGAGAAUUCGAACCAGUAAACGCCGAGGCAGUGCCGCUAAAGUUGGAGGGCAAGCAUGACGCGAACAGAUAGCAGAUUUGACAGCUCCAGGACACCAAGUGUAAACAGAUUCCAGUAGGGAGCAUGGACAUCGAACACACCCAGUAGCUGCUACAGGAGGUGGGCGUGCAAGCCGGAGGUAGAACGAUCCAGAUGAUCUGUGGUGAGGAUCAGUCAGCUCGAAAUGUGCUGCAGGUUGCUCACCGACAAGAACAGCUGACAAACGUCUCCUAAUAACGGGAUUCUACUAGAAAUGAUCUAACGUAGCCAGAGAUUUGCCAUAGAAAAUUAAAAAUGUAUAUAUUGCAAAAUAAUAAAAAAGCUUUUAUGAAAAUGAA